UGAACUGAACUGCACGAGGCAUUGUAAAAUGUGCACACAAGAUUUUUGUAUUUCUUGAAAUGACAUAUUAUCUUCUAUUAUUAUUGUCAUAAAUGAUAUAGUUAUUGUUGUCAUAAAUUGUUGUCAUAAAUAGUAUAAUUAUUGAAUAUACUUAUAUAAAUAGUGUUGCAUUGAUUUUUGACAGGCUGAUAAUUUUAUACAAGCUAAAGACGACCAUUUUUUAAAUAUAAUUUUACUUUAGUGCUCUACCAACAAUCAUAAAUUUACUUUAUCUACAAUAAAAUAUGGUUUUAACUUAAAGUAAACUUUUGUCAUUUAAACUUUACUAUGUUGAUCAUUACCUAAUAGUGUAAAAAAAAAAUUAGUACGUCGCAAUCAAGAAACAUUAGAAAAAUCAAAUGUUAAGCAAAGUGCCAUUAUAAUACAUUUCUGUUUUAUUAUGUCAGUUAAAAAAUUUAUUUAUUUUUUUAAUUUUUUUUUUUUGCUUUCGCAGGAUCAGUGUCAAGUA